AUAAAGUUUUAUUUUGGUUUUAAAAAUUGUUAUUAGUUUUAUUUAUAUGUAAAUUUUUGUAUUAUUAUUUAUUUAUUUUAAUAAUAAAUAAAUUUAAAAUAUUAUUCGCAAUAAUUAAUAUUAUUAAUUAAAGAAAUUUAGAAAUAGAAAUAUUAAAAAGUAUUGUCAAAAUUUGUGCCAGCAGUCGCGGUUAUACGAAUAAUACAAAUAAUUUUUUUUAGUUUAAAGUUAAAUUAUAUUUAUAAAAUAAAAAUAAAUUUAUUAAGUGAAAUUUUUAAAUUUAUAAUUAUAUUUUAAAAAAAAUUAAUUGAAGCUUGAAAAUUUUAAUUAUAAACUAGGAUUAGAUACCCUAUUAUUUAAAAUGUAAUUAUAUAAACUAAGGUAGUAAUAGUUAUGAUCUUGAAACUUAAAAAAUUUGGCGGUAUUUUAGUCUAUUCAGAGGAACCUGUUUUAUAAUCGAUAAUCCACGAUGGACCUUACUUAAAUUUGUUAUCAGUUUAUAUACCGUCGUUAUUAGAAUAUUUUAUAAGAAUUUUUAAUUUUCAUAAUUUUAAAAAAGAAAAUAUAUCAGAUCAAGGUGUAGCUUAUAUUUAAGUAAAAAUGGGUUACAAUAAAAUUAUUUAUAUGAAUAUAAAUUUGAAAUAUUUAUUGAAGGUGGAUUUGAUAGUAAAAUUAUAUAGAUUAAUAAUUUGAUUUUAGCUCUAAAAUAUGUACACAUCGCCCGUCGCUCUUAUUAUUAAGGUAAGAUAAGUCGUAACAUAGUAGAUGUACUGGAAAGUGUAUCUAGAAUG
rnacentral:ncRNA from 1 species